UGGAAAGAUAGAGGCGCGUUUUUUAAGAGUAUGCGGGGUGAUCGCGGCAGGGCGAAGGGAUCACCGCGGAAAGGAAAAGACGCCGAAGUGUCAUCUGCCUGCUGUGGUGAUUGCUGGGUCCGUCGAGAACAUCGCCGGGACUGUCGCCGUCAGGCGGGGGGCUGUCAAAUAC
rnacentral:ncRNA from 2 species